CGUACGACUGAAAGGGCACCAGGGCAGGAUCACUCGGCUACGAUUCCUCAAGGACCGCAGCAUAGUUGUGUCAUCAUGUAGGGACUCCUUCAUCAAGUUCUGGGAUCUGGACACUAACCAUUGUUUUAGGACACUGACUGGACAUCGUGCAGAGGUUUGGGAUUUUGUGUUGCUAAAAGAUGAUACAAGAUUGAUAUCUGGAAGUAGUGAUGCAAGAGCUCCGAGUCUGGUCUCUAAGAUUUAAGGAACCUGAAGAAAUGGCAGAUGAUGACAGCAAAGGGAAAACUCUUGAGCCUCCUUCAAAAAUGUUCCGUAUUGACACAGAAGGGAAACUCAAGGACAGGAGGAUGACACUGAAGAUGAUGAUGCUAGUAAUUUAGAGAUCACAAGACUAGGUAGCAUACUGCGGUCCAGAGGAGACCGUGUGUGUGGACUGCAGACUGAUGGCCGUAUUGUGGCUUGCUAUGGCAAAUCUGCGGUUGUGGACCUAUUCCAUGUUCUGUCAGAGGAGGAGGUCAGUGCCAAGGUGGCAAGCCGGCUCAAGAAGGCUAGGAAGAGAGCAAGAGAAGCUGGAACUGCCAUGACAGAAAAUGAAGCACCACAGCUUGGGGAUGAGAUUGGGAAGUUGCCAGCAGUGAAAGCGCAAAACAAAUUGUAUGGUGUUGAUGUUUCCUCAGAUAGAUAUGGAAGUGUGAAGGUUCUGGCCCUUCACCUAGAUAACAGUUUGGCAAUAUUCGGUACUUCAGUUGAUGCUAAGGCUGAUAAGAAUAAGUCAGAUGAGA